GGGCCCGCACAAGCGGCGGAGCAUGCGGAUUAAUUCGAUGCAACGCGAAGAACCUUACCAAGGCUUGACAUGAACCGGAAACACCUGGAAACAGGUGCCCCGCUUGCGGUCGGUUUACAGGUGGUGCAUGGUUGUCGUCAGCUCGUGUCGUGAGAUGUUGGGUUAAGUCCCGCAACGAGCGCAACCCUCGUUCUAUGUUGCCAGCGCGUAAUGGCGGGGACUCAUAGGAGACUGCCGGGGUCAACUCGGAGGAAGGUGGGGACGACGUCAAAUCAUCAUGCCCCUUAUGUCUUGGGCUUCACGCAUGCUACAAUGGCCGGUACAAAGGGUUGCGAUACUGUGAGGUGGAGCUAAUCCCAAAAAUCCGGUCUCAGUUCGGAUUGGGGUCUGCAACUCGACCCCAUGAAGUCGGAGUCGCUAGUAAUCGCAGAUCAGCAACGCUGCGGUGAAUACGUUCCCGGGCCUUGUACACACCGCCCGUCAAGUCACGAAAGUUGGUAACACCCGAAGCCGGUGGCCUAACCCCUUGUGGGAGGGAGCUGUCGAAGGUGGGACUGGCGAUUGGGACU
rnacentral:rRNA from 1 species